UCCGGCUUAUCGCCGACAGUUUCCUUAGGGUUCUCAGCUUGACCUGUUAGCAACUAAGGGCAAGGGUUGCGCUCGUUGCGGGACUUAACCCAACAUCUCACGACACGAGCUGACGACAGCCAUGCAGCACCUGUGUUACGGCUCCCUUUCGGGCACGCCCACCUCUCAGCAGGCUUCCGGACAUGUCAAGGGUAGGUAAGGUUGUUCGCGUUGCAUCGAAUUAAUCCACAUCAUCCACCGCUUGUGCGGGUCCCCGUCAAUUCCUUUGAGUUUUAACCUUGCGGCCGUACUCCCCAGGCGCAGGACUUAACGCGUUAGCUACGGGACGCACCCCCAACGGGAUGCACCCCAAGUCCUGAUCGUUUAGGGCUAGGACUAC
rnacentral:misc_RNA from 1 species